rnacentral:rRNA from 1 species
AACGUAGGUUCCGAGCGUUAUCCGGAUUUACUGGGCGUAAAGCGCGUUCAGGCGGUUUGGCAAGUCGGGCAUGAAAUCUCUCGGCUCAACCGGGAGAGGUUGUCCGAUACUGCUGGACUUGAGGGCAGUAGAGGGUGGUGGAAUUCCGGGUGUAGUGGUGAGAUGCGUAGAUAUCCGGAGGAACACCAGUGGCGAAAGCGGCCACCUGGACUGUACCUGACGCUGACACGCGAAAGCUAGGGGAGCGAACGGG